rnacentral:rRNA from 1 species
GUGUCAGCAGCCGCGGUAAUACGGAGGGUGCAAGCGUUAUUCGGAUUUACUGGGCGUAAAGGGCGCGUAGGCGGCUUGAUAAGUCAGUCGUGAAAGCCCGGGGCUCAACCCCGGAAGUGCGAUUGAAACUGUCAGGCUUGAGUAUGGUAGAGGGAAGUGGAAUUCCAGGUGUAGCGGUGAAAUGCGUAGAUAUCUGGAGGAACACCGGUGGCGAAGGCGACUUCCUGGACCAAUACUGACGCUGAUGCGCGAAGGUGUGGGUAGCAAACAGGAUUAGAUACCCUGGUAGUCCACACAGUAAACGGUGAUCACUAGGUGUUGCGGGUAUUGACCCCUGCAGUGCCGGAGCUAACGCAUUAAGUGAUCCGCCUGGGGAGUACGGUCGCAAGAUUAAA